GCUGUAGCUCAGUGGCAGAGAAUCUGUCUUGUGUGCAGAAGGAUGCAGGUUCAAUCCCUGGCAUCUCCA